GAUUUCUUCCAUCUUCAUCCUCUUAUCUCACUGAUUUCUCUUUUCCAUCUCUCUCCCCUGUCGAACUCAUGAAUUUUGUGGCUUUUAUUUAGGGGUUUCACUAAGCUUAACAAAGCAGACUUUACUAAGUUGAGGCAAGAGAAGCGUGUUGCUCCUACGUCCAUCUUCUCCGACUCCCUCUUUCUCUCUCCCACGGCUCCAUGUCUCUUCAUCUCCAUACUGGCUAUGUCAAUGGUAGAAGAAUUGAACGUGUGAAGAAGAACCAGAGGAGGUAUGCGACUGCCGUAAGCGAAUAGAGGUUGUGGAGGCUGGAGUAAGAGAACAAAGGCUUGAGGCGGAUGCUCUAGAGGCUGGAGGCGCUGCAUGCGGAGGCUGGAGGCGGACGCUCUGGUAGCGGCGGCUUAUGUUUAGGUUAAGCUUAAUUAUGUUUUGGUUAGUUAAUUAGUUUUAAACCCGGUUUGUAUGUAAACUGGUUUAAUUUAUAAACUGAAAACAUUUGUAAUCUUCUGGUUUAAUUUGUAAACCGAAAUCAGGUGUAAACCAAAUUUUUAAUAUCAACCGAAAUCAUUUGCAAA